rnacentral:rRNA from 1 species
GAUGAACGCUAGCGGCAGGCUUAAUACAUGCAAGUCGAGGGGCAGCAUGAUUGUAGCAAUACAAUUGAUGGCGACCGGCAAACGGGUGCGGAACACGUACACAACCUUCCAACAAGUGGGGGAUAGCCCAGAGCAAUUUGGAUUAAUACCCCGUAACAUAGCGAUGUGGCAUCACAUUGCUAUUAUAGAUUUUUCGCUUGUUGAUGGGUGUGCGGCUGAUUAGAUAGUUGGCGGGGUAAAGGCCCACCAAGUGUAAGAUCAGUAGCUGAUGUGAGAGCAUGAUCAGCCAACCGGGCACUGAGACACGGGCCCGACUCCUACGGGAGGCAGCAGUAAGGAAUAUUGGACAAUGGACGCAAGUCUGAUCCAGCCAUGCCGCGUGAAGGAUUAAGGUCCUCUGGAUUGUAAACUUCUUUUAUAAGGGACGAAAAAAGGCUUUUCUAAGUCGUCUGACGGUACCUUAUGAAUAAGCACCGGCUAACUCCGUGCCAGCCGCCGCCGUAAUAC